GUAAAAAAGACGGCAUAUAAGCAUAUUUCUUGGGAAGGGAUUGUAAACAUUACCUUGGGGCAAAGUGAGGAGACAUACGCUUUAGAAAAAUACUUUGCUUAUUUGAUUUUUCAAUAUAUGGAAUGAGGAGUGGAGACCAGGCAAGUUGUUUAAACGCGUUUGAGAAGCAAAUGUAGACACCAGCAACACUUUGCUUUUGGCCGAGGGAUCAAGAGACGUGUAAGUAACGUGUGAUGCAAAUCGAUCUUCUGCAGAGUUCAGAGGACUCGUCUGAACCAGCGCACAUGGCGGACGGGUACCAGUGUUGAGGCAGAGGGCGCAGGAGGAGGAACGGUGGUCAUCUCCAAAACCCCUGAGCUUAUGAGUGCAGAGAGGACGGUCAUACACUGUCUGCUGUACUUUUGAGGCCUGACUUCAUCUUUCCUGAAGCCGAAACAAACCAAGCUGUCAUCGCUUGUCUGAGUGAUGCUGAUCAGUCUCACUCUGUGCUGUCCAGCCUCGGAGCCACUUUAGAGGCAUGUGCCCUCCAGAUGUGGACGUUCCUGAUUCCCAGACAGAACAAAUCCAAGCAAUUCAAUGAGACAGCAGUAGAUGGCAGCGCACAAAGUAAUGCAGAUAGUAAAAAAAAUCUGAUUGAAAUGUUGGGAUGGAAUGAUUUUUCUUCCAUUUUAUGUUCAACUGUAAAAUAGACACUUGAUUUGGGAAUGUAAUCGAUUUACAUAUCAGUUUUAACUUGACUUUGGUGCUCUUACACACUUGUAUGACCAAACUAAAUAUUAGAUCACCUUCUUCAAAUAAGAAUGGUGGAGCACGGAAUGAAUAAGCAAGCGUAAAAUAUGAUUUAAAAACUCAUAAGUUUUUAGUUAAAACCAACAUGAUGAUCUAAUAUCUUCCAAAGAAAGUUAGCAACACUAUGUGACUUCUACCCUCCUGCUCCAGAUGUACAAGGUCAACAGAAACCAGCGAAAGAAAGUAUUGUGCAUGUGUUUUUGUUGUUCCGACUGGACCCAUUCAGCAGCUGUUUAUAAAAAUAUUACAUUCAUACUGUUUAUCACUUCAGACGCUGAAAUAAAUCUGUUUCAGACCAAUGGUAUUGAGAAAAGUGGAGUUGGGUGAAAGUCCCUGAAUCAGAUUUGUGGCCUGGAUGCUCGGAAUUCUGUUCAGUGGAAAGUGUUUCUCAGAGGCUGCGUAUUUGUAAGCGUGCAAAAAUAGUUGCCCAAUUUCCCCAGGGCAAAGUGGUUGAAAAUGUAUGAUACUGUUUCCUAGGCAGAUAGGCAAUAGGCAGAGAAAAGAGAAAAA
ensembl:lncRNA